AUUGAACGCUGGCGGCAUGCCUUACACAUGCAAGUCGAACGGCAGCACGGGUGCUUGCACCUGGUGGCGAGUGGCGAACGGGUGAGUAAUACAUCGGAACAUGUCCUGUAGUGGGAGAUAGCCCGGCGAAAGCCGGAUUAAUACCGCAUACGAUCUACGGAUGAAAGCGGGGGACCUUCGGGCCUGGCGCUAUAGGGUUGGCCGAUGGCUGAUUAGCUAGUUGGUGGGGUAAAGGCCUACCAAGGCGACGAUCAGUAGCUGGUCUGAGAGGACGACCAGCCACACUGGGACUGAGACACGGCCCAGACUCCUACGGGAGGCAGCAGUGGGGAAUUUUGGACAAUGGGCGAAAGCCUGAUCCAGCAAUGCCGCGUGUGUGAAGAAGGCCUUCGGGUUGUAAAGCACUUUUGUCCGGAAAGAAAUCCUUGGCUCUAAUACAGUCGGGGGAUGACGGUACCGGAAGAAUAAGCACCGGCUAACUACGUG
rnacentral:rRNA from 1 species